rnacentral:lncRNA from 1 species
GAGGGGUUAAUUUUAAAAGAGUUUAGCGCAGCGGAUUAAUAACACAGAGAGCGUAAAGCGUAUUAGGUCACAGUUGAAACGAUUUUAGCCUUUUUAUAAAAAACAAUUUUCUUUCAGAAAAUUAACCAAGCAGUUGAUGUGCGUUAAAGUAAAAUGAGUAUAGGGCAUAAGAAAAGCACACAAGGAUUUUUAUACUGGUUCGAUUCAACAGAAUCUACGUCCAGUCGUUAAUCACUACAAAGAGUGAUUAACAGUUCCACUAAAAAAGGAUUUAACAGAUUACAAUGAAAAGUACAAAAAUAGAAUGAAAAGAACCACUCUACCAACUUGAAGAGACCUUGC